UACGUAGGGGGCUAGCGUUGUCCGGAAUCAUUGGGCGUAAAGAGCGCGUAGGCGGCCAGAUAAGUCCGGUGUAAAAGUCACAGGCUCAACCUGUGAAUGCCGCUGGAAACUGUCUGGCUUGAGUCCGGGAGGGGCGAGUGGAAUUCCUGGUGUAGCGGUGAAAUGCGCAGAUAUCAGGAGGAACACCAAUGGCGAAGGCAGCUCGCUGGGACGUUACUGACGCUGAGACGCGAAAGCGUGGGGAG
rnacentral:rRNA from 1 species